rnacentral:rRNA from 1 species
UCGGGAAUUUUGGGCAAUGGGCGAAAGCCUGAUCCAGCCAUGCCGCGUGAACGAUGAAGGCCUUAGGGUUGUAAAGUUCUUUUGUCAGGGAAGAUAAUGACGGUACCUGAAGAAUAAGCACCGGCUAACUACGUGCCAGCAGCCGCGGUAAUACGUAGGGUGCGAGCGUUAAUCGGAAUUACUGGGCGUAAAGCGUGCGCAGGCGGCUUUGCAAGACAGAUGUGAAAUCCCCGGACUCAACCUGGGAACUACAUUUGUGACUGCAAGGCUAGAGUACGGUAGAGGGGGAUGGAAUUCCGCGUGUAGCAGUGAAAUGCGUAGAUAUGCGGAGGAACACCGAUGGCGAAGGCAAUCCCCUGGACCUGUACUGACGCUCAUGCACGAAAGCGUGGGGAGCAAACAGGAUUAGAUACCCUUGUAGUCCCUGAGCGGGCUGGCAAGGCGCAU